rnacentral:lncRNA from 1 species
GAGAACGGACAGAUUGGGAUCUUUGGAAAAUGGGAAGGAAAAACAAUUGUUCAAGAAAAACAAAAACGGGAGGAGAGGAAAUCAAUUUUUAUGGAAAAAUCCAGCAACUUAACAAAACAACAAGAUGCUGUUAUUUGAAGAAGAAACAAAAGUCUGGCUAAGUUAUUGAAUUUGAAAUCGGAGUUCGAAAUUUCAUUCAUAGUUUUGAGUUUGUGGGUUUUAAAAGUUUGACAAUUAGUAAAUUAUUGAGUGAAAUUUCCAUAAAAAGGUAGCACUCGAAUCUUCUUAGUGAAUCCAUAUAAUAGCAUGAGAUCCAUAUUUUCUUAAUGUAAUUUGAAAAGUAUUAGCAACUGAAUACUUCAAUACUUUUUCUAUUUAAUUACAUGUUUAAGUUAUAUUUGAAGUUGAUUCAUUGUUGAUAUGAAGCAUGUGAUCAUCUAAGUUAAGACAAAACAUAUAUGGAAUUAAUUUUUAUUUGGAAAUAAUUUUAGUUAAAUUUAUUGUUUAAUUGAUUUGAUUAAUAAAAAUAAUCAACGAAAGGAAAAGAAACAAAAGAGAAAAGAUAUAUUCUUUGCUUCAGUGGUAUGUAUCUACUUCUCAUCAUCAUUUUAAAGAAUUAUUAUUUUUGGUGACAAAGGUGUCUGGUUUGUUCUUUAAAAAUAUUAGAAUUUAGGAUUUAAUCUAUUUUUUCUUAAUAAAUUUAUUUUGUUGUUGAUGUUCCUAUCCUAAAGAUUUGUGUAUGUU